rnacentral:rRNA from 1 species
ACCAAGUUUGAAAGUUUUCUUAUGCACCUGGUCUCAUCUGAUCUUGGAAGCUAAGCAGGGUCAGGUCUGUUUAGUACCUGGAUGGGAGAUAUUUUUUCUUUAGAAAUCCAAGAUCUGUGAUC